AUUGAACGCUGGCGGCAGGCCUAACACAUGCAAGUCGAGCGAGCGGCGGACGGGUGAGUAAUGUCUGGGAACCUGCCUGAUGGAGGGGGAUAACUACUGGAAACGGUAGCUAAUACCGCAUACCAUCAGAUGUGCCCAGAUGGGAUUAGCUAGUAGGUGGGGUAACGGCUCACCUAGGCGACGAACCCUAGCUGGUCUGAGAGGUUGACCAGCCAAACUGGAACUGAGACACGGUCCGGACUCCUACGGGAGGCAGCAGUGGGGAAUAUUGCACAAUGGGCGCAAGCUUGAUGCAGCAAUGCCGCGUGUGUGAAGAAGGCUUUCGGGUUGUAAAGCACUUUCAGCGGGGAGGCGUUACCCGCAGAGGAAGCAACGGCUAACUCCGUGCCAGCAGCCGCGGUAAUUC
rnacentral:rRNA from 1 species